GCGGAAGUAGUUCAGUGGUAGAACAUCACCUUGCCAAGGCGGGGGUCGCGGGUUCGAACCCCGUCUUCCGCUCCA
rnacentral:tRNA from 1 species